UACGUAGGUGGCAAGCGUUGUCCGGAAUUAUUGGGCGUAAAGCGCGCGCAGGUGGUUUCUUAAGUCUGAUGUGAAAGCCCACGGCUCAACCGUGGAGGGUCAUUGGAGACUGGGGAACUUGAGUGCAGGAGAGAAGAGUGGAAUUCCACGUGUAGCGGUGAAAUGCGUAGAGAUGUGGAGGAACACCAGUGGCGAAGGCGGCUUUCUGGUCAGUAACUGACGCUGAGGCGCGAAAGCGUGGGGAGCAAACAGG
rnacentral:rRNA from 1 species